CAGUAACGCGUAGUCAACCUACCCUAUGGACGGGAAUAACCUCGGGAAACUGAGAAUAAUGCCCGAUAGAACAUUAUGCCUGGAAUGGUUUAUGUUCCAAAUGAUUUAUCGCCGUAGGAUGGGACUGCGGCCUAUCAGUUUGUUGGUGAGGUAAUGGCCCACCAAGACUAUUACAGGUACGGGCUCUGAGAGGAGUGGCCCGGAGAUGGGUACUGAGACACGGACCCAGGCCCUAUGGGGCGCAGCAGGCGAGAAAACUUUGCAAUGUGCGAAAGCACGACAAGGUUAAUCCGAGUGGUUUCUGCUAAAGGAACCUUUUGACAGUCCUAGAAACACUGUUGAAUAAGGGGUGGGCAAGUUCUGGUGUCAGCCGCCGCGGUAAAACCAGCACCUCAAGUGGUCAGGAUGAUUAUUGGGCCUAAAGCAUCCGUAGCCGGCUCUGUAAGUUUUCGGUUAAAUCUAUACGCUCAACGUAUAGGCUGCCGGGAAUACUGCAGAGCUAGGGAGUGGGAGAGGUAGACGGUACUCGGUAGGAAGGGGUAAAAUCCUUUGAUCUAUUGAUGACCACCUGUGGCGAAGGCGGUCUACCAGAACACGUCCGACGGUGAGGGAUGAAAGCUGGGGGAGCAAACCGGAUUAGAUACCCGGGUAGUCCCAGCUGUAAACUAUGCAAACUCAGUGAUGCAUUGGCUUGUGGCCAAUGCAGUGCUGCAGGGAAGCCGUUAAGUUUGCCGCCUGGGAAGUACGUACGCAAGUAUGAAACUUAAAGGAAUUGGCGGGGGAGCACCACAAGGGGUGAAGCCUGCGGUUCAAUUGGAUUCAACGC
rnacentral:rRNA from 1 species